GAUGAACGCUGGCGGCGUGCCUAAUACAUGCGAGUCGAGCGAACAGACGAGGAGCUUGCUCCUCUGACGUUAGCGGCGGACGGGUGAGUAACACGUGGAUAACCUACCUAUAAGACUGGGAUAACUUCGGGAAACCGGAGCUAAUACCGGAUAAUAUAUUGAACCGCAUGGUUCAAUAGUGAAAGACGGUUUUGCUGUCACUUAUAGAUGGAUCCGCGCCGCAUUAGCUAGUUGGUAAGGUAACGGCUUACCGAGGCAACGAUGCGUAGCCGACCUGAGAGGGUGAUCGGCCACACUGGAACUGAGACACGGUCCAGACUCCUACGGGAGGCAGCAGUAGGGAAUCUUCCGCAAUGGGCGAAAGCCUGACGGAGCAACGCCGCGUGAGUGAUGAAGGUCUUCGGAUCGUAAAACUCUGUUAUUAGGGAAGAACAAAUGUGUAAGUAACUAUGCACGUCUUGACGGUACCUAAUCAGAAAGCCACGGCUAACUACGUG
rnacentral:rRNA from 1 species